GCCCGGAUGGCUCAGUCGGUAGAGCAUCAGACUUUUAACGACAACCAAGGAAUCUCAGGGUCCAGGGUUCGAGCCCCUGUUCGGGCG
rnacentral:tRNA from 1 species